rnacentral:rRNA from 1 species
UUGGAGGGCAAGUCUGGUGCCAGCAGCCGCGGUAAUUCCAGCUCCAAUAGCGUAUAUUAAAGUUGUUGUGGUUAAAAAGCUCGUAGUUGAAUCUUGGGCCUGACUGGCCGGUCCGCCUCACCGCGUGUACUGGUCCGGCCGGGUCUUUCACUCUGCGGAACCACAUGCCCUUNAGUGGGUGUGGCGGGGAANCAGGACUUUUACUUGAAAAAAUUGAGUGCUCUAAGCAGGCCAAUGCUACGAAUACAUUAGCAUGGAAAUAAAUAAAAGUA